rnacentral:lncRNA from 1 species
UACUUGUGGUUUUACAUUGUAAUUUUUGCGGAACUCAAGGCGUCUUGGGUUAUAUGAAGCUUAAAAUCUGCAUCGGUGUGGCCCAUCCAAAGGAAAACGCUAGUUCCAUCCCUGUUGUUUAUGAAAACGACACCAUCAUCUUUAAAGGCGCGAAAAAAGGAAAACAGAUUUUCCUGCUCUUAGUAGAAAAUCACUAUUAUUUAAUAAGGUCUAUGGCUGCAUUUCUACGUACAAAAAAUUCUGUCAAAACUGUUUGAAGGAAUAUAACUAUAAAAAUCAUAACUGUGUGCACACCUAUAGAUACUGUGACUGACUCCGGAUCUGAACUGAAGAAAGAAAAGUGUUGUUAUCAGAAAAAAU